AGAGUAUAAUCUGUUCUGAUACAUCCUGUCCCGCAACGUAAUGUCGCAUACAAUCUAAUUCGUUCAGCCAGGCCGCCAUUCGGAGACCCACACCUACAGUGACUAGAAGAGCGUCAAUGAGGGUGUCAGCUGAUAGCUUUCGAGGAUCAGCUAGCGGAUUUGUUUAAUUCACCAGAAAUUGUUGAUCGAUGCCACGCCAUGCACUAAGAAAUAGAUCAAGGAAAAAUUCACAUCAUGCUAAGGCAAGCGGCUCUACGAAAUAAAAGAUGACUGAAAUUGGAGCUGGAUCGCGUUAGUUGGGUGACAGAUAACCAAAGUGAAAAAGUAAAAAGUGAUAAUAAAAGUGAUAACAAUGGAAAAAAAGGUUGAAUAAAACAGUCGGAAAGAGAAAGAUUUUUUUCUCCAUCGAAACACAAAUCGCCAAAGCGCUGCAGACGGAAUGUGACACUUGCUGCAAGUCGGUCUUGGAUCUGGCCUAGUUGGAUGUUUCCAGAAGAGAGAGAGAGAAAGCAGUUGGUGGAGGAGAGAGAGAGAACGGUUGGAGGAACUCGGACCGGUAGCAGAACCAGUUGGAAGACCUGCAGAGGGAACUCAGACCGGUCGCAGAACCAGUUGAAGGGUCAGAACCAUCAAUCUAAUGAAAUAGAA